UCAUUAACGGCGAGUGAAGCGGGAUCAGCCCAGCACCGAAUCCCCUGGCAYUCCGUCGGCGGGAACUGUGGUGUAUGGGACGUCAACGGCCGUCAGUCCGGUGGCCGAAGUCCUCCUGAUCGGGGCCUCUCCCAGAGCGGGUGUCAGGCCUUUACUGGCUGCUGGUCUGUCGGCUGCSAGCGUCUCYGGAGUCGGSUUGUUWGGGAAUGCAGCCCAAAGUGGGUGGUAAACUCCAUCUAAGGCUAAAUACCAACACGAGUCCGAUAGCGGACAAGUAMCGUGAGGGAAAGUUGAAAAGAACUUUGAAGAGAGAGUUCAACAGUACGUGAAACYGCCKAGAGGUAAACGGGUGGAUCCGCAGAGUCGGCCCACGGAAUUCAGCUCGGAAGGUUGGSGCGCGCGACGCUUGGUCGGAGAUMGGAUACGACUCUYCCGRUKGCGGGACGCGCCCCGUCCGUGUGCACUUUACCGUGGGCAGAKCGCCAGCGACCGGUUCUCARGCGGUCAAAAGGCGGUUGGGGAUGGUAGGCGUSUGCUUCYGCAUGCGCUGGUAUAGCCCCAGCAUGACCCGAUCCSCUWGGRGAMCGASGAGCCSCCGUCGRUGUASGCCGCCUURCUYUCCUGGGAUGUUCGAYYGGCAGARACUGGGCAACCGUGUCUGUCGACUG
rnacentral:rRNA from 1 species